rnacentral:rRNA from 2 species
CAAGGCAGACGGCUCAGUAACGCGUAGUCAAUCUACCCUAUGGACGGGAAUAACCUCGGGAAACUGAGAAUAAUGCCCGACAGAACAUUAUACCUGGAACGGUUUAUGUUUCAAAUGAUUUAUCGCCGUAGGAUGGGACUGCGGCCUAUCAGUUUGUUGGUGAGGUAAUGGCCCACCAAGACUAUUACAGGUACGGGCUCUGAGAGGAGUAGCCCGGAGAUGGGUACUGAGACACGGACCCAGGCCCUAUGGGGCGCAGCAGGCGAGAAAACUUUGCAAUGUGCGAAAGCACGACAAGGUUAAUCCGAGUGGUUUCUGCUAAAGAAACCUUUUGCUAGUCCUAGAAACACUAGUGAAUAAGGGGUGGGCAAGUUCUGGUGUCAGCCGCCGCGGUAAAACCAGCACCUCAAGUGGUCAGGAUGAUUAUUGGGCCUAAAGCAUCCGUAGCUCGUUUUGUAAGUUUUCGGUUAAAUCCAUACGCUUAACGUAUGGGCUGCCGGGAAUACUGCAUAACUAGGAAGUGGGAGAGGUAGACGGUACUCGGUAGGAAGGGGUAAAAUCCUUUGAUCUAUUGAUGACCACCUGUGGCGAAGGCGGUCUACCAGAACACGUUCGACGGUGAGGGAUGAAAGCUGGGGGAGCAAACCGGAUUAGAUACCCGGGUAGUCCCAGCUGUAAACUAUGCAAACUCAGUGAUGCAUUGGCUUGUGGCCAAUGCAGUGCUGCAGGGAAGCCGUUAAGUUUGCCGCCUGGGAAGUACGUACGCAAGUAUGAAACUUAAAGGAAUUGGCGGGGGAGCACCACAA